AUUAGUUUUCUUAGUCAUUAGUCUUAGAAUUAUUUCAUGUCUUCUUUUGAUUUCCUUCUGUUUUAGGCUUUAGACUACGCCCAAAAGGACGGCAUUUUUAGGGUACUAGCCUGGAAUAAUAAUUGUUAUGGAGAUCUCCUACCUGGCUAGAGAGAGCUCUAUCUAUUAGGGAAGGGUAGAUACCAUAAAAUACUGUCGAUGGUACAAUCAAAACAAUCUGUACGCCCUUCUGUCCAAACGUUUGGGACAGCCGACAUCUGGAGCACUGCGGUCUGCGAGUGCGUUUUGAAGGAUGUCCCACGAUGGUGAAGAGGCGGAAAGCCGUAGGUUUCCUUUGGGUCAUCAUACGCUAGCUAUGCAGUGAUCGCAACAAUACAAAACAACAACACCAACAAUACACGCCAUUGGCUGUACUUUGCUUAUAAAUUUUCUGCUUGCUAGGCUCACUUUUAGUUGUCUUCUCGGCUCACCUUCAGCUUGCUGCACGUUCAAGAUCGAAAAGACAUAUUCUCUUUUCGGGCCAGUUGCCUGCCAUGUCAUUUGUCCCAUCAUUGCGCUCUUCCCAGCCAGAAUUUCCUCUGAUGGGCAUGACAAUGCAAAACCAACUGUCCUACUGCCAUCCCAACAGGGGUUGUGGUUCAUGCCUAAGCAGCUAACUACGUUCGGCAAUUGUCCGCUAGAUAGCGCUUCGAGGGACACUAAGGCACAUGAGAUAAACUCUUAUAGUACCCAAUGCCUGAAAGAUAGGCAUCCCGCUACUAAAGCCUAGGACCCGAGUAAGGAAAAUCAUACAGACCGAUCUCCCUUCUAUCACCAGUAGCCAAGAUGCUUGAGGGACAACUCCUCCCGAGCCUCAUUGGAGAAUUUCCAUUCGCCGACCAUUCACCGCAUACAUUUGCCAUGGCUUUAAUCCGCUCAGGCCAUGUGAUAGGACGGUCCUUGUGGCAUUGGACCUAUCGAUGGUAUUCGACACGGUCAGUCAUGCCAAACUAUUUGAGGACAUCGCCAAUACGUCGCUCCAGCCAGGCCUGAAACGCUGGGUCGCGAAUUAUUUAUAUGGUCGCCAGUCAUUUGUGAAAUUUAAGGAUUAGAAGUCGAUGAACCGUGGAGUGAAACAGGGAGUUCCCCGUAAGGCGCAGUGAUAUCUUCGGCACUGUUUAAACCUACAUAUCAUCCAUUCCACUCCCUAUAGACGGCUUAGAGAUCGUAUCAUAUGCCACCAAAUUGUUUCCUACAGAUAAGCGUCACGUGAAUAAUGAGCGGAAAAAGAUAGUCCAUGGAGAAACGAUUUCGACCAUUAGGUGUCCCAAAAUACUUAAUGCCACAUUUGACAGCUCCAACACAUUCUUCCCACAUGCCGCAGCAAUUUGCGAUAAAGUCAAAAGUAGAAACAAGGUCCUCAAGUCACUUGCUGGCAGCACUUGGGGUGUUGACAAAGAAACCUUGUUGACCACGUACAAAGCAAUUGACCGGUCUGUGGUAAGUUAUGCAGCGCCAACGUGUACUGGUCAGCUCUAUGCCGCGAGUUACAUAUGCAAACACCUUCCAACCUGAUAAAUUCGAAUACAAUUAAUAAAGCCACACAGUAAACAACCCAAAUACCAUUUCCGGUAUAAAACAUUACCCAAUAAUUUCAAUCAGACCAUAAACAAUUCCUUUCUUAGUUGGAAUUGUCAGCAUAUUUUCAAUCAGCCCAUAAGCAAUUCCUACUAAUUUAAAUCAGCUCAUAAUAUUUUCUAACUGACUUUAGCCAAAUAAUCAAAAUUGCAAGUUAAUUCACCUUAGCUAAGUAAGCAUUAUUUUAAGAAUGCAAAGCGAUAUUUGAAAAUCAAAUAAAGACAAAGGGCAGUCAUGUUUUGGCUCUGAUUUCGAGCAAUACA